GAUGAAGAACGUAGCGAAAUGCGAUAAGUAGUGUGAAUUGCAGAAUUCAGUGAAUCAUCGAAUCUUUGAACGCACAUUGCGCCCCUUGGUAUCCCGAGGGGCAUGUCUGUUCGAGCGUCAUUUCACCACUCAAGCCUGGCUUGGUGUUGGGCGACGUCCCCUUUAGGGACGCGCCUCGAAACGCUCGGCGGCGUGGCACCGGCUUUAAGCGUAGCAGAAUCUUUCGCUUUGGAAGUCGGGGCCCCGCCUGCCGGAAUACCUACUCGUAAGGUUGACCUCGGAUCAGGCAGGGAUACCCGCUGAACUUAAGCAUAUCAAUAAGCGGAGGA
rnacentral:misc_RNA from 1 species